UACGAAGGGGGCUAGCGUUGUUCGGAAUUACUGGGCGUAAAGCGCGCGCAGGCGGUCCUUCAAGUCAGAGGUGAAAGCCCAGAGCUCAACUCUGGAACGGCCUUUGAGACUAGAGGACUUGGGUACGGGAGAGGUGAGUGGAAUUCCGGGUGUAGUGGUGAAAUGCGUAGAUAUCGGGAGGAACACCAGUGGCGAAGGCGACUACCUGGCCUGUUCUUGACGCUGAGGCGCGAAAGCUAGGGGAGCAAACGGG
rnacentral:rRNA from 1 species